GAAGAUAAGGCACAGGGUCAGGUGUGGUGUGAACAGAGGCCAGCGAGGCCAGAUGGACAGCCGGGGGAGGAGAUGCAGCAGACAGAAACCAAGUGACCCUGUGACCUAGAAAGGACCAGAGAGCCAACAGCCCGGGGCAGGUGCUCAGAGCUGGCUUCCCCAGGAACCGACAGGACUCUGAGUGCCAUCUCACAACUUCUGGGAAGCACGACUCCCAGCUCUGUCUGCAGAAAGUGCUACACAACGAGUGAGAUGGAAACACCCCUCAGCAGAUCACCAGAGAAAACAUUCUCAUCUCCACAAGUCUGUGCCUCAGAGCACACCCCAAACCCAGCAUUUCCCACCAGAAGCUCUCGGAGCCACACUAACUGCGGUGGGAGCAUGGGAUGAGUGUGCAUGGGAGGUGUGAGCAACCCCAAUAUUUGCCAUUAAAAAGUCAG